GUUGGAGAACAGCUGAGGAGAGAUGACGGUAGAGGUGAGGCACUAGACUAGAGGACAGGAAGGAAAGGCUGGAGAACAGCUGAGGAGGGAUGACGGUAGAGGUGAGGCACUAGACUAGAGGACAGGAAGGAAAGGCUGGAGAACAGCUGAGGAGGGAUGACGGUAGAGGUGAGGCACUAGACUAGAGGACAGGAAGGAAAGGCUGGAGAACAGCUGAGGAGGGAUGACGGUAGAGGUGAGGCACUAGACUAGAGGACAGGAAGGAAAGGCUGGAGAACAGCUGAGGAGGGAUGACGGUAGAGGUGAGGCACUAGACUAGAGGACAGGAAGGAAAGGCUGGAGAACAGCUGAGGAGGGAUGACGGUAGAGGUGAGGCACUAGACUAGAGGACAGGAAGGAAAGGCUGGAGAACAGCUGAGGAGGGAUGACGGUAGAGGUGAGGCACUAGACUAGAGGACAGGAAGGAAAGGCUGGAGAACAGCUGAGGAGUGAUGAUGGUAGAGGUGAGGCACUAGACUAGAGGACAGGAAGGAAAGGCUGGAGAACAGCUGAGGAGGGAUGACGGUAGAGGUGAGGCACUAGACUAGAGGACAGGAAGGAAAGGCUGGAGAACACCUAAGGAGUGAUGAUGGUAGAGGUGAGGCACUAGACUUAGAGGACAGGAAGGAAAGGCUGGAGAACAGCUGAGGAGGGAUGACAGUAGAGGUGAGGCACUAGACUAGAGGACAGGAAGGAAAGGUUGGAGAACAGCUGAGGAGGGAUGACGGUAGAGGUGAGGCACUAGACUAGAGGACAGGAAGGAAAGGCUGGAGAACAGCUGAGGAGGGAUGGCGGUACAGGUGAGGCACUAGACUAGAGGACAGGAAGGAAAGGUUGGAGAACAGCUGAGGAUGGAUGAC